rnacentral:rRNA from 2 species
UGGGGAAUAUUGGGCAAUGGGGGAAACCCUGACCCAGCAACGCCGCGGGAGGGAAGAAGGUUUUCGGAGUGUAAACCUCUGUCCUCGGUGACGAAGGAAGUGACGGUAACCAAGGAGGAAGCGCCGGCUAACUACGUGCCAGCAGCCGCGGGAAUACGUAGGGGGCAAGCGUUGUCCGGAAUGACUGGGCGUAAAGGGCGUGUAGGCGGCCGAUUAAGUCUGGAGUGAAAGUCCUGCUUUCAAGGUGGGAAUUGCUUUGGAGACUGGUUGGCUUGAGUGCGGAAGAGGUAAGUGGAAUUCCCAGUGUAGCGGUGAAAUGCGUAGAGAUUGGGAGGAACACCAGUGGCGAAGGCGACUUACUGGGCCGUAACUGACGCUGAGGCGCGAAAGCGUGGGAGCAAACAGG